GCCGAGAUAGCUCAGCCUGGUAGGGCGCAAGCCUGGAAAGCUUGUGGCGGUUUACGCCUCGGGAGUUCAAAUCUCCCUCUCGGCG
rnacentral:tRNA from 1 species